CAGCAGCCACGGUAACACGGAGGGAGCUAGCGUUGUUCGGAAUUACUGGGCGUAAAGCGCGCGUAGGCGGUUACUCAAGUCAGAGGUGAAAGCCCGGGGCUCAACCCCGGAACUGCCUUUGAAACUAGGUGACUAGAAUCUUGGAGAGGUCAGUGGAAUUCCGAGUGUAGAGGUGAAAUUCGUAGAUAUUCGGAAGAACACCAGUGGCGAAGGCGACUGACUGGACAAGUAUUGACGCUGAGGUGCGAAAGCGUGGGGAGCAAACAGGAUUAGAUACCCCUGUAGUCCCUGUCUCUUAUAC
rnacentral:rRNA from 1 species